AAGAGACAGCAGUCGCCACGGUAAAACGGAGGGUGCAAGCGUUAAUCGGAAUUACUGGGCGUAAAGCGCACGCAGGCGGUCUGACAAGUCAGAUGUGAAAUCCCCGGGCUUAACCUGGGAACUGCAUUUGAAACUGUCAGGCUGGAGUCUUGUAGAGGGGGGUGGAAUUCCAGGUGUAGCGGUGAAAUGCGUAGAGAUCUGGAGGAAUACCGGUGGCGAAGGCGGCCCCCUGGACAAAGACUGACGCUCAGGUGCGAAAGCGUGGGGAGCAAACAGGAUUAGAUACCCCAGUAGUCCCUGUCUCUUAUAC
rnacentral:rRNA from 1 species